GCUGGGUGUGGUGAUGCAUGCCUGUAAUCCCAGCUACUCAGGAGGCCGAGGCAGGAGAAUUACUUGAGCCUGGGAGGCAGAGGUUGCAGUGAGCCAAGAUCACGCCACUGCACUCUAGCCUGGGUGACAGAGUAAGACUCUGUCUCAA
ensembl:misc_RNA Metazoa_SRP Metazoan signal recognition particle RNA